rnacentral:rRNA from 1 species
GGGUGAGUAACGCGUGGGAAUCUGCCCAGCAGUACAGAAUAACCACGGGAAACUGUGGCUAAUACUGUAUACGCCCACGGGGGAAAUCGCUGCUGGAUGAGCCCGCGUCGGAUUAGCUUGUUGGUGGGGUAAUGGCUCACCAAGGCUUCGAUCCGUAGCUGGUCUGAGAGGAUGAUCAGCCACACUGGGACUGAGACACGGCCCAGACUCCUACGGGAGGCAGCAGUGGGGAAUAUUGGACAAUGGGGGCAACCCUGAUCCAGCCAUGCCGCGUGAGUGAAGAAGGCCCUAGGGUUGUAAAACUCUUUCGGCGGGGAAGAUAACGGUACCCGCAGAAGAAGCCCCGGCUAACUCCGUGCCAGCAGCCGCGGUAAUACGGAGGGGGCUAGCGUUGUUCGGAAUCACUGGGCGUAAAGCGCGCGUAGGCGGUCUGCGUAGUCAGGCGUGAAAGCCCCGGGCUCAACCUGGGAA